GGCGUGGUUUCUGGCCCACAGUUGGCACCGGUCCAUUUUAAGGAUCGGAAGAAUAUGUCACAUGAUGUGAGAAUUAUCUGGAGAGAUCGAAAGAGUAGUCACAUUUAGACUUCUAGGUCCGAGUGUUUCGUGGUUUCGUUUAGGACGACAAAAACAAGGAACUCAAAACUUUUUAAAUUAAAAAAGGAAAAGCAUUAUGAUCCCCGCGAUCCAAACAUUAAUAUAGUGGAUGCAGAAGAUGAAUUUGACUUUCUGUGUGAAGGUUUUAAGUCUCCAAGGGCUCAGAUGUCCUGCGGUCAUGUUGUGACCCCGACGUCUCUCACUAAAUGGUGCAAACAUUUGUUGGAAGAGGGUCAAAGCAGAUUUUUUUGUGGCCAGAGUGACUGUGAUGCUGUAUGGUCAUAUACGGAGGUCCGUGAAAUGGCUCUUCUAACUGCUAAAGAAAAGAAGUACUUUGAAAAAAACUUGGCUCUCAAUGCUGCCAGGAACUACUUUUUCACCAAACCAGAUUUACCACAUAACAGUGUCCUGGAUGCAAAUACUCCGUGACUAGGAAGGAUUCAUCCAAUCUGAGUGUCCACUGCCGGAUUUGCACAGCAAAGAAAGGUUACGUCUAUGAAUUCUGCUGGCAGUGUUUGAGAGAGUGGAGGGGCCCACAGCCACGCUCCGACCACUGUGGAAAUGAGGACUGCAAUAACAACUCACUGAAUACACUUAGAAAAGGCCCAAAUGUAAGCUUUGAGUAUGUGAAAGUUAUUUGGUGUCCCGCCAUCCGGGCCUGCCCUACUUGUGGGGUACUGGUGGAGCACACUGGAAUACAAUGUAAAAAUGUCACGUGUUACAGAUGUAAGGUGGAGUUCUGCUUUGUGUGCCUAAAGAUCACCGCUGAUUGUAAGAAAUCACCUAAUUAUGAUUAUUAUGGACCAUGCUCCAUUGGUAUUGCCCCAAGACAGACCUCUAUACCUGUGUGGCAGGUGGAAUUCCAGUGAAAUGUAUCCGGUGAUAUGAUUUUGUUUAUUGAAAUAUAUUUUCUUCAGUUAAAUGCUUUCCUAACGUUACUUAUCAGACUUAUCUAAAACAUUCUGAAACAAAUUUUUUAUAAAAACAUAGAAUCUGUUGUGCUUUUCUGUUAGAAAGUUACUUUGAAAUAAAUCUCAGAUGAUAAUUUCAUGAUAAUAUGACCUACAGUUUGACGUGUAACAUGUAGUGUAUGUAUUUGCAUUUCCUCACUAUUAUAGUACACGCACUGUCUCUGUGUUAUAAGAUGGUUUUAAAAUUGUAAAUACUUCAGUCCUGUAAUUCCAGUAACUUGUUACACAAGUGUGUUUAGUCCUUAUUCUUUAGCCUUACAGGUAUUUUAAAGAUUAGCAUUCAAUUUUAAUAAUUUGUGUUAUUUUAAUGUAAACAAAUGCAGUAAAAAUAUAUUCUAUAAGAUCUUUGCACUGAUUGGUGGGAAAGUAUAUUUUUUAAAUAAAUGCUGCUUUCAGUGGAUCUUUUAUAAGGAGGGGUAGACAAGCUUUCCAACAAAAAACUAGUCCCAUAAAGAUCUUGCUUCCUAAUCCAAGCUGCUUGGUUGAAGUUAACUUUUUAAUCAUGUGAUGUUGUUAAUGUGUGGCAAUUGGGCCUGAUUGUAUUGUAAAGUACCUUGAUAUAU